GAUGGCCCAAAGGAGCAGGCGGCCCAACUGAAAGGGCCUCCCCUAGCUAUCAAAGAGAUGUGGCAAGACUGAUAGUCAUGAAUUGCUAGAAGCAUCGACAUUCAGGCACAUACCCACGUGGUUGGAAUGACAACUGAGGAUUUUCACAUAACUUUCAACAGAUGAAGGACUAUCAAAUAGGCUCAGCAAUUGACGACGCUGGCAAAAAUCAGUUGUUUAAAGUGAAAGGGGAGCAUAAAAGAGGAUGCAAGAGACAGAUAACAUAGAAGAUACCAACAGCAACACAGAUACUCGGCACCAGCUAUCAAAAAGUAACAUGUAAUAGCAAGCUUGCAACAGCACCUCAGAACAGACUAAGACAUGAUGGAUUUUCCUGUAUAGAAUUCAAACUGGCUUGACUAGGUGAGCACUCAGAUAUUUUUCUUUUUUUUUUU